CAAAUCUUAUGGGGAGUGGCUGAUGGAACUGGGAUUGUUCAGUCAUAGAAGAGGAGGCUCAGGGGAGACAUUGCUGUCUACAACUGCCUGAAAGGAGGUUGUGGCAGAGCUGGAUCACAGCCUGAGUCAUCGCACUUCAAACAGAGAAUGAAAGCUCCUGAGAUGAACACAGACAUUGCCACCUUAUUCCUCCAAACUUUUCAACUCUGUAGGCUGAAGACAGCACAUCUUGAUCUAUUGCAUAUUUGACUCUCCUCCUGCGUUACUGAUGGAUCUUGGACAUGGGCCAGUGUGCUGUGUGGUAGACAGAUCCCAUGCGAAGAGAAUGAAAAGACAUUACUGUGCAGACUGCCAGAGUUUCUGAAUGCAGAGUAAAUAAUUUCUGUCCGGAUGUUUGGAAAUUAGUUACCAUACGAUUGCAUGGCAGCUGUAGAAAAAGGCUGGACUUGUCAGAAGCACCUUCAGCUCAGGCAAUAUCCAAGCAGCUGAGAUGUACCAAGCCACCUCUGAACUGCUGAACUGUACUGCUUGCCCGAGUCACCACUGUGAGAGGUAAUGCCCCAGAGAGGAGACAGCAGGUCAAAUUCCAGUGCAAAGCAAUACAGGCCAACUUUAAUAAUGAGAUAUAAAAGCGUAAGUCAUGUAACUUUUCAAGAGGGAAGAGCUAAU
rnacentral:lncRNA from 1 species